AUGGUUCCUCUGUGUAUCCCUCUCUGUGUCUCACCAGAACUGUGUGUUCCUCUCUGUGUCUCACCAGAGCUGUGGGUCCUCUGUGUGUUCCUCUCUGUGUCUCACCAGAGCUGUGGGUUGUCUGUGUGUUCCUCUCUGUGUCUCACCAGAGCCGUGGGUCCUCUGUGUUUUCCUCUCUGUGUCUCACCAGAACUGUGGGUUGUCUGUGUGUUCCACUCUGUGUCUCACCAGAGCCGUGGUUCCUCUGUGUGUUCCUCUCUGUGUCUCACCAGAGCCGUGGUUCCUCUAUGUGUCUCACCAGAACUGUGGGUUGUCUGUGUGUUCCACUCUGUGUCUCACCAGAGCCGUGGUUCCUCUGUGUGUUCCUCUCUGUGUCUCACCAGAGCCGUGGUUCCUCUAUGUGUCUCNNNNNNNNNNNNNNNNNNNNNNNNNNNNNNNNNNNNNNNNNNNNNNNNNNNNNNNNNNNNNNNNNNNNNNNAGACAGACAGACAGACAGACAGACAGACAGACAGACAGACAGACAGACAGACAGACAGACAGACAGACAGACAGACAGACAGACAGACAGACAGACAGACAGACAGACAGACAGACAGACAGACAGACAGACAGACAGACAGAUAGAUAGAUAGAUAGAUAGAUAGAUAGAUAGAUAGAUAGAUAGAUAGAUAGAUAGAUAGAUAGAUAGAUAGAUAGAUAGAUAGAUAGAUAGAUUGACAUACACCUUAGCCAAAUACUUUUAAACUCAGUUUUUCAUAAUUCCUGACAUUUAAUCCUAGUUAAAAUUCCCAGUCUUAGGUCAGUUAGGAUCACCACUUAAUUUUAAGAAUGUGAAAUGCCAGAGUAAUAGUAGAGAGAAUGAUUUAUUUCAGCUUUUAUGUCUUUCAUCACAUUCCCAGUGGGUCAGAAGUUACAUACACUCAAUUAGUAUUUGAUAGCAUUGCCGUUCUAUUGUUUAACUUGGGUCAAACAUUUCAGGUAGCAUUCUACAAGCUUCCCAUAAUAAGUUGGGUGAGUUUUGGCCCAUUCCUCCUGUCAGAGCUGGUGUAACUGAGUCAGGUUUGUAGGCCUCCUUGCUCGCACACGCUUUUUCAGUUCUGCCCACAAAUGUUCUAUAAGAUUGAGGUCAGGGCUUUGUGAUGACCACUCCAAUACCUUGACUUUGUUGUCCUUAAGCCAUUUUGCCACAACGUUUGAAGUAUUGUCUAUUUGGAAGACCCAUUUGCGACCAAGCUUUAACUUCCUGGCUGAUGUCUUGAGGUGUUGCUGCAAUAUAUCCACAUAAUUUUCUUUCAUCAUGAUGCCAUCUAUUUUGUGAAGUGCACCAGUCCCUCCUGCAGCAAAGCACCCCCACAACAUGAUGCUGCCAUCCCCAUGCCCCGUGCUUCAUGGUUGGGAUGGUGUUCUUCGGCUUGCAAGCCUCCCCCAUUUUCCUCCAAACAUAACAAUGCUCAUUAUGGCCAAACCGUUCUAUUUUUGUUUCAUCGGACCAGAGGAUGUUUCUCCAAAAAGUAUGAUCUUUGUCCCCAUGUGCAGUUGCAAACCGUAGUCUGGCUUUUUUAGGGCGGUUUUGAAGCAGUGGCUUCUUCCUUGCUUAGGGGCCAAUCAGGUUAUGUCAAUAUAGGACUCAUUUUACUGUGGAUACAGAUACUUUUGUACCUGUUUCUUCCAGCAUCUUCACGAGGUCCUUUGCUGUUGUUCUGGGAUUGAUUUGCACUUUUCGCACCAAAGUACGUUCAUCACUAGGAGACAACGCGUCUCCUUCCUGAGCGGUAUGACGGCUGUGUGGCCACAUGGUGUUUAUACGUGCAUACUAUUGUUUGUACAGAUUAACGUGGUACCUUCAGGCGUUUGGAAAUUGCUCCCAAGGAUGAACCAGACUUGAGGUCUACAAUUUGUUUUCUGAGGUCUUGGCUGAUUUCUUUUGAUUUUCCCAUGAUGUCUAGCAAAGAUGCACUGAGUUUGAAGGUAGGCCUUGAAAUACAUUCACAGGUACCCCUCCGAAUGACUCAAAUGACUUCAAUUAGCCUAUCAGAAGCUUCUAAAGCCAUGACAUCAUUUUCUGGAAUUUUCCAAGCUGUUUUAAGGCACAGUCAACUUAGCGUAUGUAAACUUCUGACCCGCUGGAAUUGUGAUACAGUGAAUUAUAAGUUAAAUAAUCUGUCUGUAAACAAUUGUUGGAAAAAUGACUUGUGUCAUGCACAAAGUAGAUGUCCUAACCGACUUGACAAAACUAUAGUUUGUUAACAAGAAACUUGUGGAGUGGUUGAAAAAUGACUCCAACCUAAGUGUAUGUAAACUUCUGACUUCAAAUGUAGCUAGAUAGAGAGAUAGAUAGAGAAAAUAUAUAGAUAGAGCAAGAGAGCAAGACAGAGAGAAAUAAUUGAAAAUUUAAAUUGAAGUUCAGAGAGAGAAAGAGAGAAAGAGAGAGAGAAAAGGGAAUUUAAUUGAAAAGAGAGAGAAUAGUGAGAAAUAGAGAGAUAGAUAGACAGAUAGAGGGAGAGAGAGAGAGAGAGAGAGAGAGAAUAUUGAGAAA
rnacentral:lncRNA from 13 species